UACGUAGGGUGCAAGCGUUAUCCGGAAUUAUUGGGCGUAAAGAGCUCGUAGGCGGUUUGUCGCGUCUGCUGUGAAAACCCGAGGCUCAACCUCGGGCCUGCAGUGGGUACGGGCAGACUAGAGUGCGGUAGGGGAGAUUGGAAUUCCUGGUGUAGCGGUGAAAUGCGCAGAUAUCGGGAAGAACACCCGUGGCGAAGGCGGCUCUCUGGGACGGUACUGACGCUGAUGCGCGAAAGCGUGGGGAGCAAACAGGG
rnacentral:rRNA from 1 species